rnacentral:rRNA from 1 species
UACGUAGGGCGCAAGCGUUGUCCGGAAUUAUUGGGCGUAAAGAGCUCGUAGGCGGUUUGUCGCGUCGAAUGUGAAAACCCGGGGCUCAACCCCGGGCCUGCAGUCGAUACGGGCAGGCUAGAGUCCGGUAGGGGAGACUGGAAUUCCUGGUGUAGCGGUGAAAUGCGCAGAUAUCAGGAGGAACACCGAUGGCGAAGGCAGGUCUCUGGGCCGAUACUGACGCUGAGGAGCGAAAGCGUGGGGAGCGAACAGG